UACGUAGGGGGCGAGCGUUGUCCGGAUUUAUUGGGCGUAAAGAGCGUGUAGGCGGCCAGGUAGGUCUGCUGUGAAAACUCGAGGCUCAACCUCGAGACGUCGGCGGAAACCAUCUGGCUAGAGUCCGGAAGAGGCGAGUGGAAUUCCUGGUGUAGCGGUGGAAUGCGCAGAUAUCAGGAGGAACACCGAUGGCGAAGGCAGCUCGCUGGGACGGUACUGACGCUGAGGCGCGAAAGCGUGGGGAGCGAACAGG
rnacentral:rRNA from 1 species